rnacentral:lncRNA from 1 species
GGGAAGUGCUGACGUGUGCGCGUGUGCGGUGUGUUGCUUGUGGGUGCGUGUGUGGUGUGUGCAUGUGUGUGCGCGCGCGUGUGUGCGGGGUGUGCCGUGAGCGUGUGCCCGCGGUUCGGGGGAUGAGUAGGGGCGCUGACUUUUAGGACCAGCCAUUUGAGCCAAGCUGGAGGCGACGUCUUAGAACCUAGGAUGAGUCUCGUUUGGUUUUAGUCUGCAAAGCUCGUCUGCAUCAGACAGGAAUUUUCCCCAGACGCGGGUGCACGUGAAUUAAUUCAUCAGAAGGCGGUUCACGGCCUGAGUGAGGGGGACGAGGGCGGCGAAUUCCUCCGCCUCAUUCCUACCCUGACGAUUCGAGAUGCUCGCUUCACCCCACUGAGGAGUAACUCAGUUUUGUGGGAUCCCACUGCCCUCCAGGUGCCGCUCCGAGUGCUCUACACAGAUUUUCAUUCAGUCCUUGCGGCACACGAAGUGGUGGGCAACAAGCAUGCCCACAGACAUGACGCGAAGCAGAAAGCUGACCGUGAGAGUGACGAGAGGAGGCCUAUCCCUGCUGCCUUGCCCUGGAGCUGCUCCUCUGGUAGCUUGAAUCCAUUUCUUUCACAUCCAGUCUUCAUUCCCUCAGCAACCCAACAGGAGCCACUCAAGACCCAUGAGCCAGAUGGACGACCAUCGUUAUUCUGGGGCAGGCAGCAGCUUCCAAGAAGAUGGCCUUGCAAUUCCAGGUCACGACUGCGUGCUGCCUUCGGAGGAACGACUCACCACAAAUCCAGAUUCUGCUGUGCGUGGCCGUCAAAUGUGAGGCCAUCUGGGGACGUGUCACGGGGACUGGGGUGGACAUAAGUCACCUUUCUAGCUACCUGUUGGAUAACCUUUCUAUAUUUGAUGAAAAGUAGUACCUGACUUCCGGACCUGGAGUUUGAAGCUCAGUUUCCAGCUGCCCUGAAACAUGCUUGGGAGACUGACUUGGAAGACAGAACGGCAAGGAAGCGGCGUCUCAGCGUCACUUCCCGCGGGGAGGGGCAGCGUUUGGCGUCCUCUGAGGCUGACUUCUCAGCAGAGGAUCCCUGUGCCUGAGGCCGCGGUGCCCAGAGGUGCCAGGCGGGGCGGGGGAUAUGGUAACUGGGAAACAUAGCCCCGAGCCCAGUUACUGCCCCUCUUAGCUAGGUAGCGAGGAUUCAGUAGUUUGCAGGACUAUGCCUGACACUGUGCCCGGGCGUGGUCUGGGCAGUCUCUUCACAUCAUCCGCUAAGGCAUCUGGGCUUUUUCCUGUCUGUCAGCGGAUGACUCCUUCCUCCGUCGUCCCUCCACGCGUGCGGCCAUCUUUUCAGCAAAGGCAUCUGGGCUUUUUCCCGUCGGUCAGCGGGUGAGUCCUUCCUCCGUCGUCCCUCCACGCGUGCGGCCAUCUUUUCAGCAAAGGCAUCUGGGCUUUUUCCCGUCGGUCAGCGGGUGACUCCUUCCUCCGUCGUCCCUCCACGCGUGCGGCCAUCUUUUCAGCAAAGGCAUCUGGGCUUUUUCCUGUCGGUCAGCGGAUGACUCCUUCCUCCGUCGUCCCUCCACGCGUGCGGCCAUCUUUUCAGCAAAGGCAUCUGGGCUUUUUCCUGUCGGUCAGCGGGUGACUCCUUCCUCCGUCGUCCCUCCACGCGUGCGGCCAUCUUUUCAGCAAAGGCAUCUGGGCUUUUUCCUGUCGGUCAGCGGGUGACUCCUUCCUCCGUCGUCCCUCCACGCGUGCGGCCAUCUUUUCAGCAAAGGCAUCUGGGCUUUUUCCCGUCGGUCAGCGGGUGACUCCUUCCUCCGUCGUCCCUCCAUGCGUGCGGCCAUCUUUUCAGGAAAGGCAUCUGGGCUUUUUCCUGUUGGUCAGCGGGUGACUCCUUCCUUCGUCGUCCCACCAUGCGUGCGGCCAUCUUUUGUUGCGUGCCUACUCUGUCGAUGUCAGGCUGGGGACACACAGGACCGACCGAGCAUGGCUCCUGAGGUGGUUUCCACGGAUGCGUCUCUGCUCUGGCAAACCAUGGCCCCGUCAUUGACAGGCCAGCGCCCGCCAGCCCCUCAAGUCUUGGGUGUACCAGGUACCUACGUCUUCACCGCUGUUUUGGGUGUGGGAAGAAUUGUUGAUUUUCAGUCUGCUCAGCUGACUUGUUGUUAGGGUGGAGCAGCAGCUCCUGAGCUCCUCACGUGAGGUACCAGAGGCUGGAAGUCCAGUUUGGGCAAUGGCAGGUGUAGACUCAGAACGUUCCAUGCGCAGGGGCUCCCCCGAAAGGCGUUCUUUCCCCAGGGCUCCUCCGAGCCUGGCUAGUACGGUCUCGAACUGCAGUCUGAGGCUGGUCCUGCCCAGCCACCUACCUUCCCUCUCCUUCCACAGGUACCACAACCACACCCCCACCUGGGGUUCCCCACCUGCCCCUCCUUCAUCUCCCUUCUACCCCUCGCAGGGAGCCCCCAUCCCAUAAAUCCACUUCCUAUUCUGCCUUGGCAUCUUCAGGACAAGUCCCAGGUGGCCUUGGAAUGAACAAGCCCCUCCCUUCUCACGCGUACUUCUCGAGAAUACCUGAAGAAUGUGCCAGGAAUGCAACCACCUGGUCUAGAAAAGGACCGGCCGGACAGCCCUGGCUCUGCUCCUGUGCCUCCUAGGGCAGGAUGUCCCGCACACUGUAGCCCUGGGAGUCACCCCUGGCUGUGGAACCCAGAGCAGAGUGCACCUUUGGGAUCCCUCAGCUGUGGUGUGAAGUGGGACACACAUAGACAAGGCUCCAUUCGUUCUGGGCAGCUUUCCCAAGCCUCGGGGACCCGCUCACCAUGGAUCCUAAGCUUCUGCUGUUCCCUGCUGCCUGCCUGUGAGUAAUAAAGUUGUGUGUGUGUUCUGUCUCCCUGGACUCGUGCACGUGGGUUGAUGCCGG